rnacentral:rRNA from 1 species
GACGAACGCUGGCAGCGUGCUUAACACAUGCAAGUCGAACGGUGAACCAGAGCUUGCUCUGGGAAUCAGUGGCGAACGGGUGAGUAACACGUGGGCAACCUGCCCCAGACUUUGGGAUAACCCCGGGAAACCGGGGCUAAUACCGGAUACGACCACUUUGGACAUCCAAUGGUGGUGGAAAGUUUUUCGGUCUGGGAUGGGCCCGCGGCCUAUCAGCUAGUUGGUGGGGUAAUGGCCUACCAAGGCGACGACGGGUAGCCGGCCUGAGAGGGCGACCGGCCACAAUGGAACUGAGACACGGUCCAGACUCCUACGGGAGGCAGCAGUGGGGAAUAUUGCGCAAUGGGCGAAAGCCUGACGCAGCGACGCCGCGUGAGGGACGACGGCCUUCGGGUUGUAAACUGCUUCUCUCUGGGGGGAAUUCGUGACGUUACCAGAGGAAUAAGUCACUGCUAACCUCGUGCCAGCAGCCGCCGUAA